UGGGGAAUCUUGCGCAAUGCGCGAAAGCGUGACGCAGCAACGCCGCGUGAGGGAAGAAGGCCUUAGGGUUGUAAACCUCUUUCAGGAGGGACGAAGGUCGGCACGUUAAUAGCGUGUCCGAUUGACGGUACCUCCACAAGAAGCCCCGGCUAACUACGUGCCAGCAGCCGCGGUAAUACGUAGGGGGCAAGCGUUGUCCGGAAUUAUUGGGCGUAAAGAGCGUGUAGGCGGUCCGGUAAGUCAGCUGUGAAAGUCAAGGGCUCAACCCUUGAAAGCCGGUUGAUACUGUCGGGCUAGAGUCCGGAAGAGGCGAGUGGAAUUCCCGGUGUAGCGGUGAAAUGCGCAGAUAUCGGGAGGAACACCAAUGGCGAAGGCAGCUCGCUGGGACGGUACUGACGCUGAGACGCGAAAGCGUGGGGAGCAAACAGGAUUAGAUACCCUGGUAGUCCACGCCGUAAACGAUGGGCACGUAGGUGUUGGGGGUGUCGACUCCCCGGCGCCGUAGCUAACGCAUU
rnacentral:rRNA from 1 species